UCACCAGUUCCAGGAUGGGUAGAGACAUCCACCUGUACAGAUAUCUCACCCACUGAAUUAUUAGCAGUUUGACCUGAAACAAGAAUUAUUGGUUAGCACACCUGGCUUCUCCAUGCAUCAAGAGAAAUAGACAGUGAAGGGGAACAACCAGAAAUUUUGUCACGUGACAGCCUCUUAAAUAUAUCUUCCCUUUUUAGCUUUCAAUUGUCUUCUGGCAUUAGAAUGAAGAAAUUGGAAUCAGACCAGCUGAAGGAAAGCCUUUUCUGCAGCCUGGUAAACACCCAGGAAUGACUUAAGAGAAGCUUCACCAGUACAGGUCUCAGCACAGAGUAAGGGUAAGCCAAGCAUAUCAUGGAUAAGGAAAGUUCAUGCACUAGGCCAACAGAAGUACAGCGUCACCCAAAUAUGCCACAGCAUGACCUGCUUCUUUUUCCUGACAUGGCAGAGCUAAGAUGGAAGCAUGGAAGUGAGACCAAAGGCAAUGCGACCAGCAUCUGAGACUAUGUCAGAGAGGGAUAUACAGACAUGAAAAUGAAGUAUUUGUGGUAUUGGGGACUUCUCAUUUUCUCUUCAAGUCUCAUUUGCUUCAUAGAUUUUGAUGAAGGAGGAAUGAAAACUAACAAACUUCCCUGAACAUAUACCAGGAAAAUAAAAGGCUCUACUCGAGCAGAUAAUUUUUGUGAAAAAAACAAAACAAAUCAAAUCAACAAACCAACAGUAAAACCCAGCUAUGAGUGUCAUUAGUGUAUCAUAUCUAAUUUAAGCAGCAAAAGAGAAAAAAUGCAUUUAUAUCUUGGACAAAUGUAUUCUGGGUUCCAUUUACAGUUCCUAGCAUAUGUGGACUAGCCUUAAAAUACAUUUGGGGUAGGUUGCUAUGGUGUCAAAAUUGGAUUUUUUAAAGGAUCAAGUUUAUUUCAUUAAUAAUGUGUUAAUCAUACUUUUCUAUCAAUUCUUAAUAUUCUUGCCUUUUUAAAGCUCAUAUUUCUGUUUUUUUACUAUACUCUUAAAUAGCAGAAUUAAUUUUUACCCACAAGGGAAUGUACUCAUAAAUCUGUUGGCACACUAUGUAAGAUCUGUUGAUUAUGCAUUAUCAAAGACAUAAUUAGAAGUUUGACUUUUUCUGAAUGCUACACAAAAACUGAGAACACAUUUGCUGAACAGCUGAAAAAAUAAUAAAUAUUUGAACAUCAUUGUUUCUAAAUUCUGCCUGUCUUAAAACUGUAAAUUUUUUUAUACAGACAAGUCUUGGAAAAGAGUUAAAAAUCUGAUGAAUCUGCUUUCAAUGGCUCAGAUUGAGGUAUUCCCUGCUGUAUCUUAAUGUGUGCUAGUAUGGACAUAAUCUUGUUAACUGCAAAUUUGGUGUUUUCUGCAGGAAACUACAGAGAUGCAAAUUACUUUUGCAUGAGUUAAAUGGAACCUCUCUAAUCUGAAUUCCAUUUACAAUUUCACAAGUCUAAUUACUUAUAGUUUUUCUAAUGGAAUUUCCUGGUUAAUUCUGUUCAGAAAAUAGUUUUACAUAUUUUCUGUAUAUCUUGCAGGUACAGAUAUUUAUCAGCUCUGUAACUUUAGUGGUUCCUCCUGUCUCUGAUAGACACCACCCCUCCUCCACCCACACCCUUAGGACAGUGAGAUGGGAGAUGCUUGGCUGCCACUGCUCCAAGCACACUGAAAAGCACUUGGGCCUCUGUACAAGAUGUAAAGAUGGACACUGCUGAACUAUUCUGCUGAAGUCUGGUCCUGUCACCCCACCAAAGUCUUUAAGGCCAUGUAUAGAUUGCUAUAGGAAUUCCUAAGCUUUAUGUGUAAAAUUGGAACUGAAUUUACCAAAGUGGGAAUAUGAUUUAUGUAUAAUAGGUUAUAUAAUAAAGGUUGUCAUACAUAACCUC